rnacentral:rRNA from 1 species
CAUAGCGUAAUGAAGCGAACCGGGGGAACUGAAACAUCUAAGUACCCCGAGGAAAAGAAAUCAACCGAGAUUCCCCCAGUAGCGGCGAGCGAACGGGGAGCAGCCCAGAGUCUGAAUCAGCUUGUGUGUUAGUGGAACGGUCUGGAAAGUCCGACGGUACAGGGUGAUAGUCCCGUACACCAAAAUGCACAGGUUGUGAACUCGAAGAGUAGGGCGGGACACGUGGUAUCCUGUCUGAAUAUGGGGGGACCAUCCUCCAAGGCUAAAUACUCCUGACUGACCGAUAGUGAACCAGUACCGUGAGGGAAAGGCGAAAAGAACCCCGGCGAGGGGAGUGAAAAAGAACCUGAAACCGUGUACGUACAAGCAGUGGGAGCCUCUUUAUGGGGUGACUGCGUACCUUUUGUAUAAUGGGUCAGCGACUUAUAUUCUGUAGCAAGGUUAACCGUAUAGGGGAGCCGAAGGGAAACCGAGUCUUAACUGGGCGUUAAGUUGCAGGGUAUAGACCCGAAACCCGGUGAUCUAGCCAUGGGCAGGUUGAAGGUUGGGUAACACUAACUGGAGGACCGAACCGACUAAUGUUGAAAAAUUAGCGGAUGACUUGUGGCUGGGGGUGAAAGGCCAAUCAAACCGGGAGAUAGCUGGUUCUCCCCGAAAGCUAUUUAGGUAGCGCCUCGUGAAUUCAUCUUCGGGGGUAGAGCACUGUUUCGGCUAGGGGGUCAUCCCGACUUACCAACCCGAUGCAAACUGCGAAUACCGAAGAAUGUUAUCACGGGAGACACACGGCGGGUGCUAACGUCCGUCGUGAAGAGGGAAACAACCCAGACCGCCAGCUAAGGUCCCAAAGUCAUGGUUAAGUGGGAAACGAUGUGGGAAGGCACAGACAGCCAGGAUGUUGGCUUAGAAGCAGCCAUCAUUUAAAGAAAGCGUAAUAGCUCACUGGUCGAGUCGGCCUGCGCGGAAGAUGUAACGGGGCUAAACCAUGCACCGAAGCUGCGGCAGCGACACUAUGUGUUGUUGGGUAGGGGAGCGUUCUGUAAGCCGUUGAAGGUGUGCUGUGAGGCAUGCUGGAGGUAUCAGAAGUGCGAAUGCUGACAUAAGUAACGAUAAUGCGGGUGAAAAACCCGCACGCCGGAAGACCAAGGGUUCCUGUCCAACGUUAAUCGGGGCAGGGUGAGUCGACCCCUAAGGCGAGGCCGAAAGGCGUAGUCGAUGGGAAACAGGUUAAUAUUCCUGUACUUGGUGUUACUGCGAAGGGGGGACGGAGAAGGCUAUGUUAGCCGGGCGACGGUUGUCCCGGUUUAAGCAUGUAGGCGGAGGUUC